rnacentral:rRNA from 1 species
UACAGAGAGUGCAAGCGUUAUUCGGAUUCACUGGGCGUAAAGGGCGCGCAGGCGGCCGGGUGUGUGAGGCGUGAAAGCCCGGGGCUUAACCCCGGAAUUGCACCUCAAACUACACGGCUAGAGCAUUGGAGAGGGUAGCAGAAUUCAUGGUGUAGCAGUGAAAUGCGUAGAUAUCAUGAGGAAUACCAGAGGCGAAGGCGGCUACCUGGACAAUUGCUGACGCUCAGGCACGAAAGCGUGGGGAGCAAAAGGG